AGUCUGCCCUUUGGAAAGAAGGCUGCACUUUGUGCCUUUCAGCUCUAGGGCAAUGUAGCACACCCAGAGCAGAAGUUCUACUUCAGCCAGAUCAGGGCUGGGAAGAAACUGCGUUUCACAGGCCUUUGUAAGACUCGUUCCCUGUAGGCUGUAAAACACCAGUGCAGAGCAAGUUGUUUCUUAGCUGCCCAAAGAGGUGGAAUCCCCACGCUGAGGGGCCUGUCUGCCCUUGAGGAGUCAAGGCAGGACUUUGAGCCUUGCAACUCUAGGCCGAUGUGGGACACGGCAUAGCAGCAGUUCUACCUCAGCGAGAUAAGGCCUGCAAAGAAAGUGCGUUUCACAGGCCUUUGUAAGAGACGUUCCCGAUAGGCUGUAAGAGCACUGUGCAGAGCGAGUUGUUUCUUAGCUUCCCGAAGAGCUGGAAGCAAGAUUCUUUGGGGCCCAACUCGCCCUUUGGAAAGAAGGCUGCACGUUGUGCCUUUCAGCUCUUGGCAAUGGAGCACACCCAGAGCAGAAGUUCUACUUCAGCCAGAUGAGGCCUGCAAAGAAACUGCGUUUCACAGGCCUUUGUAAGAGAUGUUCCCCGUAGGCUGUAAGAGCACUGUGCAGAGCGAGUAGUUUCUUAGCUUCACAAAGACCUGGAAGCAAGAUGCUUUGGGGCCCAACUCGCCCUUUGGAAAGAAGCCUGCACGUUGUGCCUUUCAGCUCUAGGGCAAUGGAGCACACGCAGAGCAGAAGUUCUACUUCAGCCAGAUCAGGCCUGCAAAGAAACUGCGUUUCACAGGCCUUUGUAAGAGAUGUUCCCGGUAGGCUGUAAGAGCACUGUGCAGAGCGAGUUGUUUCUUAGCUUCCCAAAGAGCUGGAAGCAAGAUGCUUUGGGGCCCAACUCGCCCUUUGGAAAGAAGCCUGCACGUUGUGCCUUUCAGCUCUAGGGCAAUGGAGCACACCCAGAGCAGAAGUUCUACUUCAGCCAGAUGAGGCCUGCAAAGAAACUGCGUUUCACAGGCCUUUGUAAGAGAUGUUCCCGGUAGGCUGUAAGAGCACUGUGCACAGCGAGUUGUUUCUUAGCUUCCCAAAGAGCUGGAAGCAAGAUGCUUUGGGGCCCAACUCGCCCUUUGGAAAGAAGCCUUCACGUUGUGCCUUUUAGUUCUAGGGCAGUGGAGCACACCCAGAGCAGAAGUUCUACUUGAACCGGAUCAGGCCUUCAAAGAAACUGUGUUUCACAGGCCUUUGUAAGAGAUGUUCCCGGUAGGCUGUAAGAGCACUGUGCACAGCGAGUUGUUUCUUAGCUUCCCAAAGACCUGGAAGCAAGAUGCUUUGGGGCCCAACUGGACCAUUGGAAAGAAGCCUGCACGUUAUGCCUUUCAGCUCUAGGGCAAUGGAGCACACCCUGAGCAGAAGUUCAACUUCAGCCACAUCAGGCCUGCAAAGAAACUACGUUUCACAGGCCUUUGUAAGAGAUGUUCCCGGUAGGCUUUAAGAGAACUGUGCAGAGCGAGUUGUUUCUUAGCUUCCCAAAGAGCUGGAAGCAAGAUGCUUUGGGGCCCAACUCGCCCUUUGGAAAGAAGCCUGCACGUUGUGCCUUUCAGCUCUAGGGCAAUGUAGCUCACCCAGAGCAGAAGUUCUACUUCAGCCACAUCAGGCCUGCAAAGAAACUGCGUUUCACAGGCCUUUGUAAGAGAUGUUCCCGGUAGGCUGUAAGAGCACUGUGCAGAGCCAGUUGUUUCUUAGCUUCCCAAAGAGCUGGAAGCAAGAUGCUUUGGGGCCCAACUCGCCCUUUGGAAAGGAGAAUGCACGUUAUGCCUUUCAGCUCUAGGGCAAUGGAGCACACCCUGAGCAGAAGUUCUACUUCAGCCAGAUCAGGCCUGCAAAGAAAGUGCGUUUCACAGGCCUUUGUAAGAGACGUUCCCGAUAGGCUGUAAGAGCACUGUGCAGAGCGAGUUGUUUCUUAGCUUCCCGAAGAGCUGGAAGCAAGAUGCUUUGGGGCCCAACUCGCCCUUUGGAAAGAAGCCUGCACGUUGUGCCUUUCAGCUCUUGGCAAUGGAGCACACCCAGAGCAGAAGUUCUACUUCAGCCAGAUGAGGCCUGCAAAGAAACUGCGUUUCACAGGCCUUUGUAAGAGAUGUUCCCGGUAGGCUGUAAGAGCAUUGUGCAGAGCGAGUUGUUUCUUAGCUUCCCAAAGAGCUGGAAGCAAGAUGCUUUGGGGCCCAACUCGCCCUUGGGAAAGAAGCCUGCACGUUGUGCCUUUCAGCUCUAGGGCAAUGGAGCACACGCACAGCAGAAUUUCCACUUCAGCCACAUCAGGACUGCAAAGAUACUGCAUUUCACAGGCCUAUGUAAGAGAUGUUGCCGGUAGGCUGUAAGAGCACUGGGCAGAGAGAGUUGUUUCUUAGCUUCCCAAAGAGCUGAAAGCAAGAUGCUUUGGGGCCCAACUCGCCCUUUGGAAAGAAGCCUGCACGUUGUGCCUUUCAGCUCUAGGGCAAUGGAGCACACGCAGAGCAGAUGUUCUACUUCAUCCAGAUCAGGCCUGCAAAGAAACUGCGUUUCACAGGCCUUUGUAAGAGAUGUUCCCGGUUGGCUGUAAGAGAGGUGUGCAGAGCGAGUUGUUUCUUAGCUUCCCAAAGAACUGGAAGCAAGAUGCUUUGGGGCCCAACUCGCCCUUUGGAAACAAGACAGCACUUUGUGCCUUGCAGCUCUAGGGCAAUGUAGCACUCCCAGAGCAGAAGUUCUACUUCAGCCAGAUGAGGCCUGCAAAGAACCCGCGUUUCACAGGCCUUUGUAAGACUCGUUCCCUGUAGGCUGUAAAAGACCUGUGGAGAGCAAGUUGCUUCUCAGCUGCCCAAAUAGCUGGCAGCUUGACACUGAGGGACUAGUCUUCCCUUGGGAAAACAAGGCAGGACUUUGUGCCUUGCAACUCUAGGGCCAUGUAGGACACGGCAGAGCAGAAGUACUACUUCAGCCACAUCAGGGCUGGGAAGAAACUGCCUUUCACAGGCCUUUUGUAAGACAUGUUUCCGGUAGGCUGUAAGAGCCCUAUGCAGAGCGAGUUGUUUCUUAGCUGCCCAAAGAGCUGGAACCUGGACGCUGAAGGACUAGUCUCCCCUUCGGGAAACAAGGAAGGACUUUGUGCGCUGCAGCUCUAGGGCCAUGUAGGACAUGGCAGAGCAGAAAUUCUACUACAGCGAGAUCAGGACUGGGAAGAAACUGCAUUUCACAGGCCUUUGUAAGAGAUGUUCCCGUUUGGCUGUAAGAGCACUGUGCUGAGCGAGUUGUUUCUUAGAUUCCCAAAGAGCUGGAAGCAAGAUGCUUUGGGGCCCAACUCGCCCUUUGGAAAAAAGACAGCACUUUGUGCCUUGCACCUCUAGGUCAAUGUAGCACACCCAGAGCAGAAGUUCUACUUCAGCCAGAUCAGGCCUACAAAGAAACUGCGUUUCACAGGCCUUUGUAAGACUCGUUCCCUGUAGGCUGUAAAACUCCUGUGCAGAGCAAGUUGCUUCUCAGCUGCCCAAAGAUCUGGAAGCCCCAUGCUGUGGGGCCUGUCUGCCCUUGAGGACACAAGACAGGAGUUUGUGCCUUGCAGCUCUAGGCCCAUGUAGGACACGGCAGAGCAGAAGUUCUACUUCAGCGAGAUCAGACCUGGGAAGAAACUGCGUUACACAGGCCUUUGUAAGGUAUGUUCCCGGUAGGCUGUACAACACCAAUGCAUAGCGAGUUUUUUCCUAGCUGCCCAAAGAGCUGGAAGCUGGACGCUGAGGGACUAGUCUCCCCUUGGGGAAGCAAGGCAGGACUUUGUGCCUUGCAGCUCUAGUGCCAUGUAGGACACGGCAGAUCAGAAGUUCUACUUCAGACAGAUCAGGGCUGGGAAGAAACCGCUUUUCACAGGCCUUUUUAAGACAUGUUCCCGGUGGUCUGUAAGAGCCCUAUGCAGAGCGAGUUGUUUCUUAGCUGCCGAAAGAGCUGGAAGCUGGACGCUGAGGGACUUGUCUCCCCUUGGGGAAACAAGGCAGGACUUUGUGCCUUGCAUCUCUAGGGCCAUGUAGGACACGGCAGAGCAGAAGUUCUACUUCAGCGAGAUCAUGCCUGGGAAGAAACUGCGUUUCACAGGCCUUUGUAAGAUUCGUUCCCUGUAGGCUGUAAAACACCAGUGCGGAGCAAGUUCUUUCUUAGCUGCCCAAAAAGCUCGAAGCCCCACGCUGUGGGGCCUCUCUGCCAAUUUGCAAAAAAGGCAGCCCUUUCGGCCUGGCAGCUCUAGGCAAAUUUAGCACACCCAGAGCAGAAAUUCUACUUCAGUAAGAUCAGGCCUGGCAAGAAACUGCGUUUCACAGGCCUUUGUAAGUGAUGUUCCCGGUAUGCUGUGGUAGCAUUGUUCAGUGUCAGUUGUUCCUUAGCUUCCCAAAGAGCUGGAAGCAAGAUGUAUGGGGCCUCUCUCCCCCUUUGGAAACAAGGCAACCCAUUGGGCCUGGCAGCUCUAUGCCAAUGUAGCACACCCAGAGCAGAAGGUCUGCUUCAGCCAGAUCAGGCCUGUCAAGAAACUGCAUUUCACAGGCCUUGGUAACAGAUGUUCCAGGUAGGUUGUAAGAGCACUGGGCAGAGCCAGUUGUUUCUUAGCUUCCCAAAGACCUCUAAGCAACAUGCUUUAGGGCUUCUCUGCCCCUUUGGAAACAAGGCAGCCCUUUGGACCUGGCAUCUCUAAGCCAAUGUAGCACACACAGAGCGGAAGUUCUGCUUCAGACAUAUCAGGC
rnacentral:lncRNA from 1 species